AAAAAUGUAUGUUUUAUAGGUUAGUUUACAAAUUAGGUAUUAUACAGGUAGCUAUAGAUUAUUUGUGACAACUGUAGAUAAUUGUCACAAAGCUGAAAAGUAGCUGGGCUUACAUAUUCAGGGCUAUCUAGCUUUCUCAAAGAAUAUCCUAAAUUAAAGUAAUAAUAUUUGUAUGAUUUAUAAACAUUUUAUCAUUGUUAGAGGCUUAAACUUAACAUGUGCAUUGCUCAAUAUAUGCCAUUUGGCCAUUCUAAUGGUAGAUACAAAUUUCCCUACAAAAUGUAAAACCAUAGCAACAAAAAAACUUGAACA
rnacentral:lncRNA from 1 species